GUAGGUGGCAAGCGUUGUCCGGAAUUAUUGGGCGUAAAGCGCGCGCAGGCGGUUCUUUAAGUCAGAUGUGAAAGCCCACGGCUCAACCGUGGAGGGUCAUUGGAAACUGGAGAACUUGAGUACAGAAGAGGAAAGCGGAAUUCCACGUGUAGCGGUGAAAUGCGUAGAGAUGUGGAGGAACACCAGUGGCGAAGGCGGCUUUCUGGUCUGUAACUGACGCUGAGGCGCGAAAGCGUGGGGAGCAAACAGGGAUUAGAUACCCUGGUAGUCCACGCCGUAAACGAUGAGUGCUAAGUGUUAGGGGGUUUCCGCCCCCUUAGUGCUGCAGCUAACGCAUUAAGCACUCCGCCUGGGGAGUACGGCCGCAAGGCUG
rnacentral:rRNA from 1 species